rnacentral:rRNA from 1 species
CCUCUUUUAGCAGGGAAGAAGCGAAAGUGACGGUACUCGCAGAAAAAGCGCUGGCUAAUUACGUGCCAGCAGCCGCGGUAAUACGUAGGGCGCAAGCGUAUUCCGGAAUUAUUGGGCGUAAAGAGCUCGUAGGCGGUUUGUCGCGUCUGCUGUGAAAUCCCGAGGCUCAACCUCGGGCCUGCAGUGGGUACGGGCAGACUAGAGUACUGUAGGGGAGAUUGGAAUUCCUGGUGUAGCGGUGGAAUGCGCAGAUAUCAGGAGGAACACCGAUGGCGAAGGCAGAUCUCUGGGCCGUAACUGACGCUGAGGAGCGAAAGGGUGGGGAGCAAACAGGCUUAGAUACCCUGGUAGUCCACCCCGUAAACGUUGGGAACUAGUUGUGGGGUCCAUUCCACGGAUUCCGUGACGCAGCUAACGCAUUAAGUUCCCCGCCUGGGGAGUACGGCCGCAAGGCUAAAACUCAAAGGAAUUGACGGGGACCCGCACAAGCGGCGGAGCAUGCGGAUUAAUUCGAUGCAACGCGAAGAACCUUACCAAGGCUUGACAUAUACGAGAACGGGCCAGAAAUGGUCAACUCUUUGGACACUCGUAAACAGGUGGUGCAUGGUUGUCGUCAGCUCGUGUCGUGAGAUGUUGGGUUAAGUCCCGCAACGAGCGCAACCCUCGUUCUAUGUUGCCAGCACGUAAUGGUGGGAACUCAUGGGAUACUGCCGGGGUCAACUCGGAGGAAGGUGGGGAUGACGUCAAAUCAUCAUGCCCCUUAUGUCUUGGGCUUCACGCAUGCUACAAUGGCCGGUACAAAGGGCUGCAAUACCGCGAGGUGGAGCGAAUCCCAAAAAGCCGGUCCCAGUUCGGAUUGAGGUCUGCAACUCGACCUCAUGA